rnacentral:rRNA from 1 species
UACGUAGGGUGCGAGCGUUGUCCGGAAUUACUGGGCGUAAAGAGCUCGUAGGUGGUUUGUCGCGUUGUCCGUGAAAACUCACAGCUCAACUGUGGGCGUGCGGGCGAUACGGGCAGACUGGAGUACUGCAGGGGAGACUGGAAUUCCUGGUGUAGCGGUGGAAUGCGCAGAUAUCAGGAGGAACACCAAUGGCGAAGGCAGCUCGCUGGAACGGUACUGACGCUGAGGCGCGAAAGCGUGGGGAGCAAACAGG